CGUGGUAAAGGAGGGUCAGAGGUCAGCCUGGGAGCAGUAAUUGAAUCCAGAGAAGAGAGUAAAGGACUAUAGAGAUGAGACGGAGAAUCCAGGGAGGCCGUGGCACUCACCUAGAGGUCACCAACCUUCCAGGGAUGGAGUGUGAAGUGGCUUAUAAAUCCACACUUUGAGGAGCCACAUGGUCAGAGGAAAGUCACGUGUGGAUACAACUGUGUAUUCCAGGGCCACACAGCUACUAGAUUUCUGCUUGGUAGCCAAACAGAAAGACCAGGUUUCCCCCUCUCUGAGUGAGACGACAGAUGCUGUUGAGCUGCAGCUGCUUGACGUGGAAUGGAGCUGCA